UACGUAGGUUGCGAGCGUUGUCCGGAAUCACUGGGCGUAAAGGGCGCGUAGGCGGCAAUACAAGUCGCAUGUGAAAUACCAGGGCUCAACCCUGGGGUGUCAUGCGAAACUGUAUAGCUUGAGUGCAGUAGAGGUAAGCGGAAUUCCUGGUGUAGCGGUAAAAUGCGUAGAGAUCAGGAGGAACACCGGUGGCGAAGGCGGCUUACUGGGCUGCAACUGACGCUGAGGCGCGAAAGCGUGGGGAGCAAACAGG
rnacentral:rRNA from 1 species